CAAGCGGUGGAUGAUGUGGAUUAAUUCGAUGCAACGCGAAAAACCUUACCUACCCUUGACAUGUACGGAAGCCUGAAGAGAUUCGGGUGUGCUCGAAAGAGAGCCGUAACACAGGUGCUGCAUGGCUGUCGUCAGCUCGUGUCGUGAGAUGUUGGGUUAAGUCCCGCAACGAGCGCAACCCUUGUCAUUAGUUGCUACGAAAGGGCACUCUAAUGAGACUGCCGGUGACAAACCGGAGGAAGGUGGGGAUGACGUCAAGUCCUCAUGGCCCUUAUGGGUAGGGCUUCACACGUCAUACAAUGGUACAUACAGAGGGCCGCCAACCCGCGAGGGGGAGCUAAUCCCAGAAAGUGUAUCGUAGUCCGGAUCGCAGUCUGCAACUCGACUGCGUGAAGUUGGAAUCGCUAGUAAUCGCGGAUCAGCAUGUCGCGGUGAAUACGUUCCCGGGGUCUUGUACACACC
rnacentral:rRNA from 1 species